AUUGCCCUAGUAACGGCGAGUGAAGCGGCAAUAGCUCAAAUUUGAAAGCUGGCCUUCUGGUCCGCAUUGUAAUUUGUAGAGGAUGCUUUUAGGCAGCCGCCGGUCUAAGUUCCUUGGAACAGGACGUCAUAGAGGGUGAGAAUCCCGUAUGUGACCGGCUCUGGCACCUUAUGUAAAGCUCCUUCGACGAGUCGAGUUGUUUGGGAAUGCAGCUCUAAAUGGGAGGUAAAUUUCUUCUAAAGCUAAAUACUGGCGAGAGACCGAUAGCGCACAAGUAGAGUGAUCGAAAGAUGAAAAGCACUUUGGAAAGAGAGUUAAAAAGCACGUGAAAUUGUUGAAAGGGAAGCGCUUGCAAUCAGACUUGGACUUGGCUGUUCAACCGGUCUUCUGACCGGCCUACUCAGUCUUGUCCAGGCCAGCAUCAGUUUCGGCGGCCGGAUAAAGGCCCUGGGAAUGUAGCUGUCUCUUCGGGGACAGUGUUAUAGCCCAGGGUGUAAUACGGCCAGCUGGGACUGAGGUCCGCGCUUCGGCUAGGAUGCUGGCGUAAUGGUUGUAAGCGGCCCGUCUUGAAACACGGACCAAGGAGUCUAACAUCUAUGCGAGUGUUAGGGUGUCAAACCCUUACGCGUAAUGAAAGUGAACGGAGGUGGGAACCCGCAAGGGUGCACCAUCGACCGAUCCUGAUGUCUUCGGAUGGAUUUGAGUAAGAGCAUAGCUGUUGGGACCCGAAAGAUGGUGAACUAUGCCUGAAUAGGGUGAAGCCAGAGGAAACUCUGGUGGAGGCUCGCAGCGGUUCUGACGUGCAAAUCGAUCGUCAAAUUUGGGUAUAGGGGCGAAAGACUAAUCGAACCAUCUAGUAGCUGGUUCCUGC
rnacentral:rRNA from 1 species